rnacentral:rRNA from 1 species
GAUGAACGCUGGCGGCGUGCCUAAUACAUGCAAGUCGAACGCGAGAGGAGGGAGCUUGCUCCCUCUGAUCGAGUGGCGGACGGGUGAGUAACACGUAGGCAACCUGCCCAUCAGCCGGGGAUAACUGCGGGAAACCGUGGCUAAUACCGGAUAAUCCUCUCCACCGCGGGGUGGGGAGUUGAAAGACGGUUUCGGCUGCCGCUGAUGGAUGGGCCUGCGGCGCAUUAGCUGGUUGGCGGGGUAACGGCCCACCAAGGCAACGAUGCGUAGCCGACCUGGGAGGGUGAUCGGCCACACUGGGACUGAGACACGGCCCAGACUCCGACGGGAGGCAGCAGUAGGGAAUCUUCCGCAAUGGACGAAAGUCUGACGGAGCAACGCCGCGUGAGUGAUGAAGGCUUUCGGGUCGUAAAACUCUGUUGUUAGGGAAGAACAAGUGCUAGUUGAAUAAGCUGGCACCUUGACGGUACCUAACCAGAAAGCCACGGCUAACUACGUGCCAGCCGCCGCAGUAA